rnacentral:lncRNA from 1 species
GCCUUUCCGAAGCCGCGAGCAGCCGCCGGGAGCCGCUUGCGACGUGUGGCACCGCGGGGUGAUGGCAGCUUUUCAGCCGGACCGGGAGCUGCAGAAGUGGAGCCGUAAGGCUUCGGGCUUCCCCCGGGUAGAAGGAAAGGUCUCCCCGGGAGUUUCCGGCACGUACGGGCCGGGCCGGGAACCGGCUGGCGGCUGCGGGAGGGGGGGCCCGAGCUGUAUUCGCGUUGGCUGCCAGCAGGCAGUCCGAUGAUGGUGUGCGAGAGGGGUGUGAAUGGAGCGCCACGUUCGUGGCUCCAUCGGUGGAGUUGUUCUCCCAGAAACGUUUGUUUUAACAGUGCUGACUUUAUAACGACAAAUUAUCCCUUCGGAAAGAGCUGCCCGCAUCACGGCGACGUGCGAACGGACACAGAGCGGCCGCACGGAUGAGUAUUAAAACCAAAUUCCUCUUAUCUACGUGAGAAAUCAGCCGGAAGAAAACGAAAAUAUACCCGACUUUAAAUUAUAUAUGUGUAUAUAUAUAUAUAUUUUUCUAUAAAAUACUUGGUUCGCUGUAAGCCAUUCAUCUCCUAAUGAGUUUCUACGCUGUUCCUGCCCGGGGUCGUUCGCGGCGCUGCGCGGCCC